rnacentral:rRNA from 1 species
AGAUUGAACGCUGGCGGCGUGCCUAACACAUGCAAGUCGAGCGGUAACAGGUGUAGCAAUACAUGCUGACGAGCGGCGAACGGGUGAGUAAUGCUUCGGAAUCUACCUUAUGGUGGGGAAUAACUAGCCGAAAGGUUAGCGAAUACCGCAUACGUCCUACGGGAGAAAGCAGGGGAUCGCAAGACCUUGCGCCAAAAGAUGAGCCGAAGUCGGAUUAGCUAGUUGGUAGGGUAACGGCCUACCAAGGCGACGAUCCGUAGCUGGUCUGAGAGGACGACCAGCCACACUGGAACUGAGACACGGUCCAGACUCCUACGGGAGGCAGCAGGUGGGAAUAGUUGGACAAGUGGGGGAAACCCUGAUCCAGGCGGCGCCGCGUGUGUGAGAGGCUGCGGGUGUAAGCUACGUUUAGGUGGGUAUGAAAGUGUGACGUAGAGUACUAAA